AUGCUCAAAAUUCUCCAAGCCAGGCCUCAGCAAUACAUGAACCAUGAACUCCCUGAUGUUCAAGCUGGUUUUAGAAAAGGCAGAGGAGCCAGAGAUCAAAUUGCCAACAUCCGCUGGAUCAUGGAAAAAGCAAGAGAGUUCCAGAAACACAUCUAUUUCUGCUUUAUUGACUAUGCCAAAGCCUUUAACUCUGUGAAUAUCAAUAAACUAUGGAAAAUUCUUCAAGAGAUGGGAAUACCAGACCACCUGUCGUGCCUCUUGAGAAACCUGUAUGCAGGUCAAGAAGCAACAGUUAGAACUGGACAUGGAACAACAGACUGGUUCCAAAUAGGAAAAGGAGUACGUCAAGGCUGUAUAUUGUCAUCCUGCUUAUUUAACUUCUAUGCAGAGUAUAUCAUGAGAAACGCUGGACUGGAAGAAAUACAAGCUGGAAUCAAGUUUGCCAGGAGAAAUAUCAAUAACCUCAGAUAUGCAGAUGACACCACCCUUAUGGCAGAAAGUGAAGAGGAGCUAAAAAGCCCCUUGAUGAAAGUGAAAGAGGAGAGCGUAAAAGUUGGCUUAAAGCUCAACAUUCAGAAACCAAAGAUCAUGGCAUCUAGUCCCAUCACUUCAUGGGAAAUAGAUGGGGAAACAGUGGAAACAGUGUCAGACUUUAUUUUGGGGGGCUCCAAAAUCACUGCAGAUGAAUGCAGCCAUGAAAGUAAAAGAUGCUUAUUCCUUGGAAGAAAAGUUAUGACCAACCUAGAUAGUAUAUUCAAAAGCAGAGACAUUAUUUUGCUGACUAAAGUCUCUCUAGUCAAGGCUAUGGUUUUUCCUGUGGUCAUGUAUGGAUGUGAGAGUUGGACUUUGAAGAAGGCUGAGCACCGAAGAAUUGAUGCUUUUGAACUAUGGUGUUGGAGAAGACUCUUGAGAGUCCCUUGGACUGCAAGGAGAUCCAACCAGUCCAUUCUGCUGGAGAUCAACCCUGGGAUUUCUUUGGAAGGAAUGAUGCUAAAGCUGAAGCUCCAGUACUUUGGCCACCUCAUGGAAGAGUUGACUCAUUGGAAAAGGCUUUGA
rnacentral:lncRNA from 1 species